rnacentral:rRNA from 1 species
GAUGAACGCUGGCGGCGUGCCUAAUACAUGCAAGUAGAACGCUGAAGCUUGGUGCUUGCACCGAGCGGAUGAGUUGCGAACGGGUGAGUAACGCGUAGGUAACCUGCCUGGUAGCGGGGGAUAACUAUUGGAAACGAUAGCUAAUACCGCAUAAUAGCAGUUGUUGCAUGACAGCUGUUUGAAAGGUGCAAUUGCACCACUACCAGAUGGACCUGCGUUGUAUUAGCUAGUUGGUGGGGUAACGGCCCACCAAGGCGACGAUACAUAGCCGACCUGAGAGGGUGAUCGGCCACACUGGGACUGAGACACGGCCCAGACUCCUACGGGAGGCAGCAGUAGGGAAUCUUCGGCAAUGGACGGAAGUCUGACCGAGCAAUGCCGCGUGAGUGAAGAAGGUUUUCGGAUCGUAAAGCUCUGUUGUAUAGAAGAACGAGUGUGAGAGUGGAAAGUUCACGCUG